rnacentral:misc_RNA from 1 species
UCUGAAUCAUAUAGAAACUUACACCCGAAUGCACCAUUGAUUGUUCCCUGGGUAUCUGGUGUUGUUAGCACAUGAUUGGAUUUUACCAACCCAAAUGGUGAUCAAUGUUAAAAUUAUAUUGAGCUUCAAUCUCUACCUCUGGAAGUUUUGCAAAGAUAUGAUGCUGGCUGUGCUGAUAUCUUGAUUAUGCCUUGCCUGCAUCUGGGACUGACAGAUUUUGACUUUCAUUCAUCUUUUCUUUUCCUUUGUUAGUCUGGGUUUUGGGGAAAGAAAAUAGUUGAGGAGUGUGUUUCCUCAUCUAUUUAUCAGAAUCAUUUUUGUAACAUGCAGUGUUGCAGUCUUGGCACUGUUGAUUCUAAGGUUGGGAAAUCUAGUGCCUAGGUAAAUUGGCCUAUUUACAGAUAACAUGAAGAACUCUCAUUUUGGUUUAGCCUGAGGAGAUUGAUUGGUCAUAGGAGGGAUGAGAAAAUUGAUUUGUUGUAAUGGAUUGCAAAAUCGUAAGAAAGGAAGAAUUGCCUAUUGCUAAUUUCUUUUUUUUAUGUGAAAU